rnacentral:rRNA from 1 species
GAUGAACGCUGGCGGCGUGCCUAAUACAUGCAAGUCGAGCGAACGGACGAGAAGCUUGCUUCUCUGAUGUUAGCGGCGGACGGGUGAGUAACACGUGGAUAACCUACAGAUAAGACUGGGAUAACUUCGGGAAACCGGAGCUAAUACCGGAUCAUAUUUUGAACCGCAUGGUUCAAAAGUGAAAGACGGACUUGCUGUCACUUAUAGAUGGAUCCACGCUGCAUUAGCUAGUUGGUAAGGUAACGGCUUACCAAGGCAACGAUGCAUAGCCGACCUGAGAGGGUGAUCGGCCACACUGGAACUGAGACACGGUCCAGACUCCUACGGGAGGCAGCAGUAGGGAAUCUUCCGCAAUGGGCGAAAGCCUGACGGAGCAACGCCGCGUGAGUGAUGAAGGUCUUCGGAUCGUAAACCUCUGUUAUUAGGGAAGAACAUAUGUGUAAGUAACUGUGCACAUCUUGACGGUACCUAAUCAGAAAGCCACGGCUAACUACGUG